rnacentral:rRNA from 1 species
GGGGGGGGGGGGGGGGGGGGGGGGGGGGGGCGGGGGGGGGGGGGGGGGGGGGGGCGGGCGGGUCGGGCGUUAGCGGCGGGCGGGUGGGUAACCCGUGGAUGGCCGCCCUUGACGCCUUGGAUAGGUUCGGGAGACCGGAGCUACUACCGGCGACUCUAUUGAACCGCCUGGUUCACUAUUGAAAGCCGGUGUUGCUGUCGCUCAUCGAUGGAUCCGCGACGCCUUAGCUUGUUGGUCCGGUAACGGCUUACCACGGCAAAGCUUCGUAGCCCACCUGAGAGGGUGAUCGGCCACACUGGAACUGAGACACGGUCCAGACUCCUACGGGAGGCAGCAGUAGGGAAUCUUCCGCAAUGGGCGAAAGCAUGACGGAGCAACGCCGCGUGAGUGAUGAAGGUCUUCGGAUAGUAAAACUCUGUUAGUAGGGAAGAACAAAUGUGGAAGUAACUAUGCACGUCGUGACGGUACCUAAUCAGAAAGACACGGCUAACUACGUG